ensembl:lncRNA
UUGCAACAGCCUUUGCUCUCCUGUUACUCGCAACCACCAGAUUCCAGUGUCUGCACGCAUGUGGAAGGCAGCACUCCAGUAUGGGACGCGGACAUCCCAGGCAGCAUCUUAAAGCUUCCACCAGACGCUCGCCCUGGGAAUUUUCAUUCUUACGAGACAACGCAGACGUGGUUCAACAGGGCGGCUGUGGUCACCUCUGCCCCCCCACAUGUUCACGUGCGUGCUCCCCACACUCAACCCACACACAUGUUUACACACUCUGUCCCCACAUGCAUGUUCACCCACACACAUGUUCACACACUCUGCCCCCACACACAUGUUCACCCACACACAUGUUCACACACGCUGCCCCACACACGUGUUCACACACACAUGUUCACACUCUGCUCCCCACACACAUGUUCACACACUCUGCCCCACACAUGUUCACCCACACACCUGUUCACACACUCUGCCCCACACACAUGUUCAGCCACACACCUGUUCACACACUCUGCCCCACACACAUGUUCACCCACACACAUGUUCACACACUCUGCCCACACACAUGUUCACACACUGCCACACACAUGUUCACACACUCUAGGGCCUGGGCCACUCCAGUCGGUGAAAACCACUCCUCAGAUGACCAAGUUCUAUGAAUGUGGCCAAGCCUCUGUCCCAUCUUUUACAUCCUGAGUUAAUCUGGAAAAAUCCGCACCUGUGCCAGUUCACAGCCCUUCUCUCCUCUGUGGACAGAGGCGGCGGCUCACAGACGGGGACUGCAGGGGUGUCGCCAGCCCUUCCCCUCCGACUCGGCUUCCAUCUCCUCCUGCCAAGGACCAUGGAGGACAGGGGUGCGCUCGUCUCUCCCAUGGCAGCGAGCCUGGGACAGGAGAACACAUCUCCAGCGAGACGAGGAGCCCUUGGCCGGCCCUAAAGCUCGUGUGUAGCUCCAGGUGCCGGCUCAGCCAGCUGUGCAGAAUGGAGUUGUGCUCAUCUCCAUUCCUCCUGUGCCCCGGGGCUCCAGCAAGACCCAGGCAAAGCCUGGCGUAAGUCCCCAGCUGGACAGCUGCGUGGCUUGCCCAUUUCUUUGUGUCUCAUCUCUCGUACCUGGUGGCUUAUGGGUAGAAGACUGCACUUGACCCAUUCCGUCGCCCCAACCCCACCUAUGCCUUCUUCCCGGACUGCGCCCUCAGGAUCCGAGCGUCCUAGGACCACCAUUCAAAACCUCCGAGCCUGAAGCUGCGAGCAGGUUCUCAUUCUGGCUUCUCCAUGGAUGGGGUGAGUUCUGUGCCGAGCAACCCGCGGUGGCCUGAUGCUAAAUCUUCCUCGUUCCAGCUCUCCUGUUUCAGGACUUAUGAAUUAUUAAGCAGCCCUCUGUUUGUAAUGCCGGGCUCUCCGCUUCCUCCAAAUUAAAUUACCGAGGGAUAUAUUUGAUUAUAAACAUACUUAGUGAAUGUUUUCAUUGUUGCUUUCUGUAGCUUCCUUUGUACUAAAGUGUUAGAAUGUCAAAAAGUCAACCGCAAACAUCUACAGCCCGCUGUGGAAAACCCUUUAAAGCAAGCGCCGGGCAAAUUAAGUAAUCAAAAAUGAAAACCACUUUAGGACAAUAGUGAAUAUAAUUUGUCAUCCCUCAAAAAAAAAAAAAAAAAAAGCUGG